GAGUGGAUUGCAGCCAAGGAUGACUUGCCGAGAUGUUGUAGCCAAUGCAAUGACUUAUCGGCAGGUCGUCCUUGGCUACAUUUUACUCUCUUCUGCUCAUGUAAGGCUCUGAAAGACAUAUAUAAUUCGAGGUGAAGUCAGUGAUUGAGUUUCACAAAUCACAUCCAAUUGAAUUGCUCAUGAUUUGUCUAGAGAGUCAUUGCAAGAAAAGGUAGGGAGUGGAUUGCAGCCAAGAAUGACUUGCCGAGAUGUUGUAGCCAAUGCAAUGACUUAUUGGCAGGUCGUCCUUGGCUACAUUUUACUCUC
rnacentral:pre_miRNA from 1 species